rnacentral:rRNA from 1 species
AGCGAACGUUAGCGGCGCGCCUAACACAUGCAAGUCGAACGCGAAAGGUCUUCGGACUGAGUAGAGUGGCGCACGGGUGAGUAACACGUAGGUAAUCUACCCUUUGGCGGGGGAUAACGUUCCGAAAGGAGCGCUAAUACCGCAUAAGACCACGGAGUCUCCGGACGCUGUGGGAAAAGGUGGCCUCUUCUUGAAAGCUACCACCGAAGGAUGAGCCUGCGUCCCAUCAGCUAGUUGGUAAGGUAAUGGCUUACCAAGGCGAAGACGGGUAGCUGGUUUGAGAGAAUGAUCAGCCACACUGGCACUGGAACACGGGCCAGACUCCUACGGGAGGCAGCAGUGAGGAAUAUUGGGCAAUGGGCGAAAGCCUGACCCAGCCACGCCGCGUGAGUGAUGAAGGCCCUCGGGUCGUAAAGCUCUGUGGAGAGGGACGAAAACCCUGGUUUCAAAUAGGCUCCAGGCUUGACGGUACCUCUUUAGCAAGCACCGGCUAACUCUGUGCCAGCAG